AUACGGAGGAUCCAAGCGUUAUCCGGAUUUAUUGGGUUUAAAGGGUGCGUAGGCGGACUUUUUAAGUCAGUGGUGAAAGUUUGCAGCUCAACUGUAAAAUUGCCGUUGAAACUGAAGGUCUUGAGUGUAAAUAAGGUAGGCGGAAUGUGUUGUGUAGCGGUGAAAUGCAUAGAUAUAACACAGAACUCCAAUUGCGAAGGCAGCUUACUGGGAUACAACUGACGCUGAGGCACGAAAGCGUGGGGAUC
rnacentral:rRNA from 1 species